rnacentral:lncRNA from 1 species
UGAAAAAGAACACACUAUGAUAAUAUUGAGGAGAAUAGCCCAAGCAAAGAGCUAGUCACAUGUGAAUCAAGGCAGUUCUAUAUAAGCAGAAUAUGGAUGAAGUAUUUGUAGUAGGUCACAAAACCACAUCUACAUCUGACAUUUUCAAUCAAAGGGCUAAGACAUGUUCUUCAAAAUAAAAAAACAGCAUACACUAUUUUCCCUUGCCUUCCCCGGAUAUCAUGAUUUCGUUUCUUCUAUGAAGAUAUCCAAAAGGAUAUCGUCGACCUGAUCCACAGAAGAAUUGAAGAAUUAAUAUUAUCAACCAACACAAGGCAAAUAACACUGACAAAAUAUGUAUCAUCUGACAUCCUUUGCGGUGCUAAAAAUAGUAUGUAAGCAGGAUGGGCAUAUUGUGCACAAGCAAUUAGCAUAUAAGCUUAGGCGAGUAUCACCAAUCUAUUAUAUAAUUAAAUUAAAUUAAUUAAUUAAAUUAUAUAUAAUAAAUAAGAGAAUUGGGUUUCUGGUCGUCCGGCGUUUGUGGCAGUUUUGCAGAAAAACCCUUAUCUUUUAGGUAAUUCAACCCGCACUCCUUUUUUAAAGUGAGAAAAGGUUUUGCCCUGGAUUGUAAAAAAACAUGAACAGACAUGAGGACGGACUCUUUCUCUCCCUCGCCUCCAGAUCCCAGCCGCCAGGAGGCUCGUGACCCACGCGACCCUCAAUCCGCUGCCGCGCUGUCCGGCGGACGCCGGCGAUCGCAUCAACCGGCACCACCGUUCCGCUUCAGCCCCUCCUCUCCCCAGCGCGGCCCAACCCUCACCAGCUCUCCCUGCCUUACGAACCAAGUCUUGUGCCUGCCAAUUAAUAGUCCCACUCUGCUCUAUUACAUCAAAUGCAACCAACUUAGAUAUAUUCAUGCAUUACAAGAUCAACAAGCCAACAAAAAGAGGAUGAGAUGUUCAUGUUUACCCUAGAGAAAUAAAGAAAGCGACCUGCCGCAUGUAUUAUAUGCGUCACCAAUCGAAAAUGGGCAGAGAGGAGAGGCGCAUGAAUCCAAAGAAAAGCACCAUGGGUGACAAGCCUAAUAUAAUAGAAAAAAGAUCUCAGCUUAAUUGCCAUUUGAGAUAAUAAUCCUAAAGAAGGAGAGAGAGAGAGAGAGAGAGAGAGAGAGAGAGAGAGAGACGAACUGAAGAUACAGAGAAAAUUGAUGCCCAUAUUAAUUCGUGGUACAGAGACCAGCUCAUGGAAGAGAAAACCAGGGCCCGGGGGCUUUCACCGGAGGUAGCUUCGGCACUCCCACAUCCGUGGCCACCGGCAGAAGAGCAGCACCACCAGACCGCCCCCGUGUGUGCUGGCCGGCCGCCAGAUCUGGCGCAACCGAGCCAAUUGCACACCUGCCCCGCAACCCCGGUUGCCCCAGCCACCCUCCGGGAGGAGGGGCUCCACCACCACCACUGCACGGGAGGAGGCUCCGCCUUGGCCCCAGUGCGCCGACGAGCAGGCCACCGCCGCCCCAGCCGUAGCCAGAAAGCACACCGAUGCUGGCAGCUGGGAUGUGGCUCUGGCCAGCCACCGUUGCCAAGAACAGGAGAGCAACACUUGGGUGGUGAGGUGGAUGGAGAAGAGGAGAGGAAGAGGAGGAGCAACGAUGGGUGGUCAGGCAGCAGGAGGAAGAUGGUGGCGGAACGGCGCUUGGGUGAUGAGGAAUGGCGAUGUGUUGUGGAUAAGAAGGC